GAUGAACGCUAGCGGCAGGCCUAAUACAUGCAAGUCGGACGGGAUUCAGGAGCUUGCUUCUGAUGAGAGUGGCGCACGGGUGCGUAACGCGUAUGUAACCUACCUUUAUCAGGGGGAUAGCCUCUCGAAAGAGAGAUUAAGCCCGCAUAAAAUCACAGCACAGCAUUGUGUAAUGAUCAAAUAUUUAUAGGAUAAAGAUGGGCAUGCGGAACAUUAGCUAGAUGGCGGGGUAACGGCCCACCAUGGCGACGAUGUUUAGGGGAUCUGAGAGGAUGGCCCCCCACACUGGUACUGCGACACGGACCAGACUCCUACGGGAGGCAGCAGUAAGGAAUAUUGGUCAAUGGGCGGUAGCCUGAACCAGCCAUGCCGCGUGCAGGAAGACGGCCCUACGGGUUGUAAACUGCUUUUAUACGGGAAUAAACCCAGAUACGUGUAUCUGGCUGAAUGUACUGUAAGAAUAAGGAUCGGCUAACUCCGUG
rnacentral:rRNA from 1 species